rnacentral:rRNA from 1 species
AAUCGUGACUCGGGUUACCGCGGCUGCUGGCACGGAGUUAGCCGGUGCUUCUUCUGUGAGUGAUGUCCUUCCUGCCGGCUAUUAACCCGCAGGCCUUCUUCCUCACUGAAAGUGCUUUACAACCCGAAGGCCUUCUUCACACACGCGGCAUGGCUGGAUCAGGGUUGCCCCCAUUGUCCAAUAUUCCCCACUGCUGCCUCCCGUAGGAGUCUGGGCCGUGUCUCAGUCCCAGUGUGGCUGAUCAUCCUCUCAGACCAGCUACGGAUCGUCGCCUUGGUGAGCCGUUACCUCACCAACCAGCUAAUCCGACAUAGGCUCAUCCGAUAGCGCGAGGCCCGAAGGUCCCCCGCUUUCCCCCGUAGGGCGUAUGCGGUAUUAGCCUGGGGUUUCCCCAGGUUAUCCCCCACUACCGGGCAGAUUCCUAUGCAUUACUCACCCGUCCGCCGCUCGCCACCAGGGAGCAAGCUCCCCGUGCUGCCGCUCGACUUGCAUGUGUUAGGCCUGCCGCCAGCGUUCAAU